GACGAACGCUGGCGGCGUGCUUAACACAUGCAAGUCGAGCGGUAAGGCCCUUUCGGGGGUACACGAGCGGCGAACGGGUGAGUAACACGUGGGUGACCUGCCCUCAGCUCUGGGAUAAGCCGUGGGAAACCGGGUACUAAUACUGGAUAUGACUCCAUGACGCAUGUUGUGGGGUGGAAAGCCUUGUGCGGCUGAGGAUGGGCCCGCGUACCAUUAGCUAGUUGGUGAGGUAACGGCNCACCAAGGC
rnacentral:rRNA from 1 species